GAAUUUAGCAGAGAUGCUUUAGUGCCUUCGGGAACUCUGAGACAGGUGCUGCAUGGCUGUCGUCAGCUCGUGUUGUGAAAUGUUGGGUUAAGUCCCGCAACGAGCGCAACCCUUAUCCUUUGUUGCCAGCACGUAAUGGUGGGAACUCAAAGGAGACUGCCGGUGAUAAACCGGAGGAAGGUGGGGAUGACGUCAAGUCAUCAUGGCCCUUACGAGUAGGGCUACACACGUGCUACAAUGGCGCAUACAAAGAGAAGCGACCUCGCGAGAGCAAGCGGACCUCAUAAAGUGCGUCGUAGUCCGGAUUGGAGUCUGCAACUCGACUCCAUGAAGUCGGAAUCGCUAGUAAUCGUAAAUCAGAAUGUUACGGUGAAUACGUUCCCGGGCCUUGUACACACCGCCCGUCACACCAUGGGGAGUGGGUUGCAAAAGAAGUAGAUAGCUUAACCUUCGGGAGGGCGUUUACCACUUUGUGAUUCAUGACUGGGGUGAAGUCGUAACAAGGUAGGCGUAGUGCU
rnacentral:rRNA from 1 species